rnacentral:lncRNA from 1 species
GAGGCAAAGACUGCCUGCUUGGGUGUGGAUAUAGUUGAGGGUAGGUCAGGAAUAUGGAGAUGAAAUCUGGGGAGAUGGCUCGGUUGGUUAAGUGUUUGCCAGGCAAACAUGAGGAGCUACAAUUGAUCACCAACACUCGUGGGAAAGUUGGGUGCAGAAGUGACUUACUCUAACACAGAGGACACAGAGACAGGCACAUUCCUGGGCUUGCUGGCCCGCCAGCCUAGUUGAACUGGUAAACUGCAAGUUCAGUAAGCUACUCUGACUCAUAAACUAGAUGGAGAGCAAUGGAAGACACCUUGUGUUGACCUCUGCUGCCCGCUGCCUGCAUCCCCACCACCACAAAAGGAUGAUGUGUAACAAAAUAACAGUAUUACAAAAAGAAGCGCAGAGACAAACAGAAAAAGCAGCAAG